rnacentral:RNase_MRP_RNA from 2 species
AACUCCUUCGAAGGACCGCCAUCGCAGCACACGCACGAACAGCUUGCCUGUCUCCUUUCGCUGUGGGGAAAGUCCCCGGAGAACGCGCGACGAGGAGCUUCGUGCUCGCCAUCCUCGAACAAAGAAGAGCAGCCUUCGCUAGUCACGACGGAACUCGAGGAUGGAGGUCGGGAAGGUUCUGUAGGAGUUGAAGUGCUCUCGCUCUUCAGGCUACUUCCUCCCAUCCUUUUCGCAUCCUAUCCAUGCAUCGUAGGGCACGUGCUGUCGCGAAGAUAUGAGUGCGGCGUGUGCGCUCCAACCUGCGUGCAGUAAGUGAUAGGCAUUCUAUGCUCAUUUUCACAGUUACGCGGUCCCGAUUUCCUUUGGAUCUUCCAAGUAGUCGGAACGGAAUGGGGCUUACUCUCGAAUGGAGU